AGGUUGGCUGAAAGGCUCUGUAGUUAAUCACCUUCUCAAUGAUAUCACACCAGAUUAAAAGGUUGGCUGAAAGGCUCUGUAGUUAAUCACCUUCUCAAUGAUAUCACACCAGAUUAAAAGCUAUGGCAUCGGACACUGGGUGACAACGUCAUUGGUGGGCAUCUUCACAUUGGAACUGGGAGCCGCAGCAUCUACAUGUGGUGGUGGGAUGCUUUAUAAGGUAUAUUUAUGUAAUUUUGUAUUUAUCCUGACGACGAGGUGCAAAUAAAACUUUGAAA